rnacentral:rRNA from 1 species
GACGAACCGUGCGAACGUUGUUCGGAAUCACUGGGCUUAAAGGGCGCGUAGGCGGCGGUGUAAGUUGGAAGUGAAAUCCCAUCGGCUCAACCGUGGAAUUGCUCCCAGUACUGCACUGCUCGAGGGGGAUAGGGGUCUGCGGAACUACCGGUGGAGCGGUGAAAUGUGUUGAUAUCGGUGGGAACGCCAGUGGCGAAAGCGGCAGACUUGACCCUUCCUGACGCUGCAGCGCGAAAGCUAGGGGAGCAAACGGG